UUUUUUUUGGAAAAUUUUUCACUUGUCUUCUUUAUAUGUGUUUAUAAACAAGUACCAAAAUAAGACGUUUUCGCUUGUUUUACAGGUGUAUAGACUGAAUUGUCUUAACAAAGAAAACAUGAGUUGAUAUUCGUAAGGUAUUUUUUAGGUACUUGCAAUAUUAAAGCGAAGCAUAUAUGGAAUUAAGAUUACGCAAUCCUACUUUUACAAAGAGUGAAAUGAAAGAACAUCAAACUAAAAUUCUAUAUUUCGAACAUGUUCAUUUAAUUGCUUAAUUCUAAUUUGUGUUAUCUAUUUGACCUGGUUCACCUCGGCUUUUUUUAUCAAUAUUCAAAUAAAAAUUCUUCGCGUUAGUGCAUAUGAAACAUAGCAACAAAAAUCUUGAAUUGAAAGCAAAUUCUUUAUAAAGACUAAAUGUCUAAUAUGACAACCAAUGCAAAGAGGACUUUAUUUUAUUUAUAUAGUUUUCAAUUUUUUUUAUUUUUAACACUGUUUGUCGCUUAUAUUGCGUUAUAUAAAUAUAUUAUUCCUGCUGACAAUCGAUUUCAAAUCAUAAAAGUUAUAGAUAGCUAUGUUCUACCGCAAUGUCGCCAGCCGAGCUACAGUGAGCUUACUCAAGCUUGCGGUAAUACGAUGUUUUGGGAAAAUAGAAUUUUUAACCCAGAUCUUCUAACAAAUCUAAGUUUGUCUACUUUUAAACUAGACGUGAAGCCAGACUUUGUCGUUCUCACUAUUCACACAGUUGAUAAUUUAGGACGAACUCGAAAAAAUGGAGGUGAUUUUUGGUGGGUUAGAGUGGUAGAACCUGUCUUUUUUCUUGUUCCUAUAAUAGAUUUUUUAAAUGGGACUUAUCAAGGAGUUUUUACAUUACACGAAAAUGGGAUUUACAAGUUAGAGAUAUUACUUGAGUUUAGUAACUGCGAGGGGGCUUAUGAUCCACCUCGUUAUUGGUUUAAAAGAGGAACUUAUCAAGGUCUUUCUCAACAAAGAGAUUGGCUGCAACCCUCUGCGUUUAGUGAAAUAUUAGAGACAAAAGUUAUGCAUUUUGAAACUUUUCAAACACACACCUUACAUGAUAUUCAAAAAAGUAAAAGAUUAGUGAAUCUAUUUCCAUGUGUCAUAAAUGCUGAUUGUGGAAUGUGGUUUAAUGGAAGCUUUAUCUCACAAAAUGGUAAAAAUAGUUCGCCUACUUUUUUGCCAAUGAGAAAGAGGAAUGGGACUUUAUGGAUUUAUGGUGAUUCACUUGGAAAACGACUUCACGAUUAUGUUAAAAUAAAGCCAUUAUGCCAAGAAUUAUUUUUAACUUGCAAUUAUACAUACAAUUGGGUAUACCCUUUAAAAGAAAAUUCACAUGGUUUUAAAGAAGAUUGGGUGUUUGACGAUCAAGAUUUUAAUCAAACAUUGCAUUUGAAUUUUAUUAAAAAUGUUAUAAUGAACUCUUAUAUGAGAAAAAAAGAAAGCGUUUUACUUAUCAAUUUCGGACUUCAUCUAGUAAAAUCGUUACCGAUGUCCAAAUUAAAAAACUUAUUUAAUGAAUUUAUUAUUAUGUUAAAAGAACUUAAUACAGAUCCAUUGAAGUUUCCAAUUGUUAUAUGGAAAACUACAACGCCGCCCUAUCAAUCUCAUGAACCGAGUAAAAAUUUCAGAGUAAUGAGGUUCCUAACAAAACAGUGCAUUUGUUUACUCAGAUGUCUUUCAUUAUCGAUGCUGCUUUAAAAAGUGACGGUUAGAUAGAUAUGUUAUAUAAUAACAUUUGGUACCUGGGUAUAGUUACCAAGCGAGUAGCAGAAUGGAACGCGUACACAAAAGAAAAACUAUGUCUCCAAAAUAUUCCUGUUCUCGACGUAUAUGGAAUGGCUGGAUCUUUUCCAAAGGGUCCUAUUGAUAGUGU
rnacentral:misc_RNA from 1 species